CUGACGACGGACGGGGGCACUCGCGUUUCCGGCAAGCCGCCGAAAGGGUCGAUGAAGUGGAAGGAGUUUCUAGGGAUCAAGAAGCCCGCGGCGAGCAAGAACUGCGUCCGGGAGAGUGCCGAGGAUCAAAGCGGUGAAGGAGAAGACAGGGCUAAAGAUGUACACGCGGUAGAGCUAAAGAUGUAGUCUUGAAGACAAGGGCUCUGUGAUACUGAUCACAGAUAGCAUCCUCUUCUUCUUCUUUCCUCUUUUUUUUUUUUUUUUUUUUUUUUUUGGACCUUUUUUUUUUUUUUUUUUUUUUUUUUAGAGGGAAAUAAAAUCCUUUACUGCGUUAUUAUUUUUUUCUUUUAGUUUUUUAGGGUAAUUCAAUUUUAUUUUUGAACAGGAUGGUGUCUAGCUGUCUACUGUUUGUUGUGUAUCUUCUUUCUUUAUUUCCUUGUAAAAAGCAUGGCUGUAGAUGGGUAAAAUGAUGUGUGAUGGUUCUGAAUUCUAAUCAAUAUAGAUAUAGAUAAGGGCUUUUAUUGCUGGAUC